AACGAACGCUGGCGGCAUGCCUAACACAUGCAAGUCGAACGACACCUCCGGGACUAGUUGCGCACGGGUGCGGAACGCGGGGGAACGGGCCCUUAGGCUCGGAAUAAUUCUCUGAAAGGGGGGCUAAUACCGGGAAAUGUCCGCGGAUAAAAGAUAUAUCGUCUUGGGAUGGGCACGCGUUGGUCGAGCUUGGUGGUAGGGUAAAAGCCUAUCAAGGCGACGAUCCAUAGCGGGUCUGAGAGACAGAUCCGCCACACUGGGGCGAGGACACGGCCCAGACUCUUGCACGAUGCGGCAGUGCGGGAUAUUGGACAAUCGGCUAGGGCCUGAUCCAGCUCUGCCGCGUGAGUGAUGAUGGUCUUAGGGUUGUAAAGCUCUUUUACCCGCGAUGGUACUGACAGUACCGGGAGAAUAAGCUCCGGCUAACUCCGUG
rnacentral:rRNA from 1 species